UCUCAGGUGACCCUGAGUUGUAACCUGAGCUGGAUACAUUCCUGAGGGACGGGGAAAACCUGUUCCCUCUGCCUACGUGACUGGCAUCACAUACCUGGCUUACUCUCCCUAUUUCUAAGCAAUGCCUACCUGACUGGGAGGGGGCUAGGGACCCUGCCAGUUUACCCAGCAACCAGUGAUGCAUUUCAAAUUGGUUGGCUAGCAACCAACAGGUGCUGGCCUCCAUUGGACCAGGUAAAUGAGGUCAUAAGAUCUACAAAAGUUAAGAACUGCCCAGGAGGAGGGGCAAUAGCCAUGAUACAAAAACUCAGAAAGAGAAGCUGGACCAUCUGAAACUUGCUCUCUCUCUUGAAACUCAUGAUCAAUGAACUGCCUACCUCCAGAGGGAAUCUCCACCUGCCCUGGAUGAUACUCAUGAAAAUUGCACCGUGCUGAUUAUGUCUUCAGUGUGCAGAAGCCUUGGGUCAAAAUCAGGACUAGAAAAAUGACUCCUUGAUCAGCCGUGAAGAAGAUUGGGGCUCCACCUUGUGGACAUAGAAUAAAUAUCAUGGGAAGAUAUUUAAAUUAGUGGAUGUGAUGAAGAUUUCAUUUGUAGCAUUUCCCAUAAUUUUUUGUUAGUCUAAGGAAAAAAAAACAAAAUUCAGCCUACAAUCAUAUUUGUUCAUAUAGAGUUGUUUUAUUUGUUUUGAAUAAAAUAAUCUGAAAAUUA